AGAGUUUGAUCCUGGCUCAGGAUGAACGCCUAGCGACAGGCUUAACACAUGCAAGUCGAGGGGCAGCGCGGAGGUAGCAAUACUUCUGGCGGCGACCGGCGCACUGGUGAGUAACACGUAUGCGACCUGCCCCGGACAGGGGGAUAAACCCGGGAAACUGGGCCUAAUACCCCAUAUGUAUCGAGGAUGCAUGUCCUUGAUAUGAAAGAUCCGUCGGUCCGGGAUGGGCAUGCGGCGCAUUAGCUUGUUGGCGGGGCAACGGCCCACCAAGGCGACGAUGCGUAGGGGUUCUGAGAGGAAGGUCCCCCACACUGGUACUGAGACACGGACCAGACUCCUACGGGAGGCAGCAGUGAGGAAUAUUGGUCAAUGGACGGUAGUCUGAACCAGCCAAGUCGCGUGCGGGAAGAAGGCCCUCCGGGUCGUAAACCGCUUUAGCCGGGGAGUAACGUGGGGGACGCGUCCCUCAGUGAGAGUACCCGGAGAAUAAGCAUCGGCUAACUCCGUGCCAGCAGCCGCGGUAAUACGGAGGAUGCGAGCGUUAUCCGGAUUUACUGGGUUUAAAGGGUGCGCAGGCGGCGAGUCAAGUCAGCGGUCAAACUGCGGCGCUCAACGCCGUACCGCCGUUGAAACUGGCGCGCUCGAGUUUGUGCGAGGAUGGCGGAAUGCGCAGUGUAGCGGUGAAAUGCAUAGAUAUUGCGCAGAACUCCGAUUGCGAAGGCAGCUGUCCAGCACACUACUGACGCUCAUGCACGAAAGCGUGGGUAUCGAACAGGAUUAAAUACCCUGGUAGUCCACGCGGUAAACGAUGAUAACUAGUUAUCCGGCCAAAUUGAUGGUUUGGGUGACCGAGCGAAAGCGUUAAGUUAUCCACCUGGGGAGUACGCCGGCAACGGUGAAACUCAAAGGAAUUGACGGGGGCCCGCACAAGCGGAGGAACAUGUGGUUUAAUUCGAUGAUACGCGAGGAACCUUACCCGGGCUCAAACGCAAGGCGCUACACCCUGAAAGGGGUGGUUCUUCGGACGUCUUGCGAGGUGCUGCAUGGUUGUCGUCAGCUCGUGCCGUGAGGUGUCGGCUUAAGUGCCAUAACGAGCGCAACCCCCAUCUUCAGUUGCCAUCGGGUCAGGCCGGGCACUCUGGAGAGACUGCCGGCGCAAGCUGUGAGGGAGGCGGGGAUGACGUCAAAUCAGCACGGCCCUUACGUCCGGGGCGACACACGUGUUACAAUGGCGGGGUGACAGCGGGAAGCCAGGCGGCGACGCCGAGCCGAUCCCGAAAACCCGUCUCAGUUCGGAUCGGAGUCUGCAACCCGACUCCGUGAAGCUGGAUUCGCUAGUAAUCGCGCAUCAGCCAUGGCGCGGUGAAUACGUUCCCGGGCCUUGUACACACCGCCCGUCAAGCCAUGGAAGCCUGGAGUGCCUGAAGUCCGUGACCGUAAGGAGCGGCCAAGGGUAAGACAGGUGACUGGGGCUAAGUCGUAACAAGGUAGCCGUACCGGAAGGUGCGGCUGGAUCACCUCCUUUCU
rnacentral:rRNA from 1 species